GGGCCGGUAGUUUAGCCAGGAUAGAACGCCGGCCUCCGGAGCCGGAGGUCGCGGGUUCAAAUCCCGCCCGGCCCGCCA
rnacentral:tRNA from 1 species